CUUUCCUUCUUCUUAUGUUUCUUCUCUUCCCCUGUUCUUUCUCUUAUGCUAGUGAUUGAGAGAUCAAGUAGAGGUUUUGUAACCGGUAGGAGUUGGAGGAGAUGAUGGAGUAGUUGAUGGUGGUGGUGUUGUUGCUGUUUGAGUUUAGGAGGAAGUUGAAUCGAGAAAUCAGUAAGUUAGGGUUUUUGGAUUUGAAGUUAGAUUUGUAUAGAACUAACGAUGAUGAUUUCGAGUUGAUAAUGGAUGAAGAUUAAAUGGGUUGAUGUUGUAUUAAUGAUAAGAAGUUAUUCUAAAGAUGAAUUGAAGAAUCAAAGAGCUAGGGUUUCUAUGAAUUCAUUGGAGUUCGAUUUAAGUGAUGAUUAAGAAGAAUUAUUGGAUGGGUUUGGUCGAUUUGAGGACUUGAAUUAGUGGUUUGAGCAGAAGUGAGGGUUAGGGGAUUAUUUGGAAUUUUCACAGUUGAUGUUUUUGCAUCUGAUCAGAAGAGGAAGGAGGAAGCAACUUCAGUUAUGAUUUUAAAUGAAAACCUCGGAUUCAUGGAUUGAAAUUACAAGUGAAGAAUAUUCCUAAGAUGUGUAUGAGGAUAAGUGUUGGUAGAGAACAUGAAAGGUUAGAGCUCAUUCUUGAGAUGAGAAAAUACAGGAAGAAGUGAACUGUUGUUGAAGUUAAUGAAACUGGUAGUAAUUCAGUUGAAUUGUAGAUACUGGUUUUAUGGUGUAGUGAAGUCUGGUGGUGUAUAUGUGUAGUAAGUUGGAAGAAUAAAUGAUAAUAAUGCUCCUAUAACGAAGUUUCAAUGGUUGUAUCUGAAGAAGGUUCGAUGAUUGUUGUUGCAGCUGUGAUGACUGUGAUUAUGAAGUUAUUGUAAUUAGUUUGGUAGUAGUGACUGUUGGGGUGAAUUGCAGGGAGAUGAAAUUAGAUGAAUGUAUAUGAGGAAAAUGUUGUCGAAGUUAACUGUGGUAUUGUAAGGUGAAGGGGUAUGUGUAGAUGAAUAUUGUUCUAGAUUAGUGUUUUUGUGUGGUGUUGCAGCUCAUGGAAUUGGUGGAGUAAUGUUAUCUGAGUGGCUGAUGGAGGAUUAAGAACUGUUUUGAGAGUUACAGUUGCAACUUGUUGAACUGAUGGAGAUUAGGUAAAUGUAUAGGGAAUGGUAUUGGUGUGGGAUGUUAGUAGUUCUAUUGAUUGAGUUGCAGUUGAAGUUAAUGAAUGCGGCUGGUGUUACGGUUGUUACUUAGGGCUGUAAAUGCAAAGGAGUUAAAGUGUUGAAUGUUGUAUGGGAUUGAAAUUGCAAGUGGAAGUAAUCUGAGAUUAUAUGAAUGAGAUGAUAUGUGACUGAAGCUUUGUAUUGAGGAUUGGAUGAAUGUGUUGAGAUGAUCUGUGUAUGGUUUAAAGCUGCAAUUGCAGGUAAACUGAAAUUGUAUUUGUAAAUGAAUUAUGAAGUUUGAUUUGAGAAAGUUUAUCGCUAAUAAUUGUAGUUGUUGAAUUGUA